rnacentral:rRNA from 1 species
GGGGGGCCUAUACAUGCAAGUCGAGCGGACAGAUGGGAGCUUGCUCCCUGAUGUUAGCGGCGGACGGGUGAGUAACACGUGGGUAACCUGCCUGUAAGACUGGGAUAACUCCGGGAAACCGGGGCUAAUACCGGAUGGUUGUUUGAACCGCAUGGUUCAAACAUAAAAGGUGGCUUCGGCUACCACUUACAGAUGGACCCGCGGCGCAUUAGCUAGUUGGUGAGGUAACGGCUCACCAAGGCAACGAUGCGUAGCCGACCUGAGAGGGUGAUCGGCCACACUGGGACUGAGACACGGCCCAGACUCCUACGGGAGGCAGCAGUAGGGAAUCUUCCGCAAUGGACGAAAGUCUGACGGAGCAACGCCGCGUGAGUGAUGAAGGUUUUCGGAUCGUAAAGCUCUGUUGUUAGGGAAGAACAAGUACCGUUCGAAUAGGGCGGUACCUUGACGGUACCUAACCAGAAAGCCACGGCUAACUACGUGCCAGCAGCCGCGGUAAUACGUAGGUGGCAAGCGUUGUCCGGAAUUAUUGGGCGUAAAGGGCUCGCAGGCGGUUUCUUAAGUCUGAUGUGAAAGCCCCCGGCUCAACCGGGGAGGGUCAUUGGAAACUGGGGAACUUGAGUGCAGAAGAGGAGAGUGGAAUUCCACGUGUAGCGGUGAAAUGCGUAGAGAUGUGGAGGAACACCAGUGGCGAAGGCGACUCUCUGGUCUGUAACUGACGCUGAGGAGCGAAAGCGUGGGGAGCGAACAGGAUUAGAUACCCUGGUAGUCCACGCCGUAAACGAUGAGUGCUAAGUGUUAGGGGGUUUCCGCCCCUUAGUGCUGCAGCUAACGCAUUAAGCACUCCGCCUGGGGAGUACGGUCGCAAGACUGAAACUCAAAGGAAUUGACGGGGGCCCGCACAAGCGGUGGAGCAUGUGGUUAAUUCGAAGCAACGCGAAAAACCUUACCAGGU